rnacentral:RNase_P_RNA from 1 species
UUGGCAAACGCUAUAUUCGAUGUAAUAUAGAGGAAAGUCCAUGCUCACAAUAACUGCGAUGUUAUUAGUGUUCGUGUUAGGGGAAAAAAUAACCCUAAGUAGUUUAUAACUAACGGCUAUGAAAUAACCUAAGUUUUUAUAUGGUUAAAGUAAUUAUAAAAGUGCUAUAGUGAUGAAGAAUCUGGAAACGGAGGAAGUGGAACAUAGUAAACCCCACGAGUGAGAAACCCAAAUAAUGGUAGGGGAGCUUAGGAAUUGAAAAUGAACAAAACCUAGGAUCGUAUGAUAGAUAAAUGUUUGCCACCUUUUAGGUACAGAACAUGGCUUAUAA